GGGGCUGGAAUCAGAGUCUCAGUCGAGUAAAUCAUCCACCAGUGGUAGUUCAGAGAAAAGUGACAGACCCAAACACAUGGGACACAGGAGGCAGUCCAAACCACACAGGGAUUCAUCUGGUUCCAUGGACAGAGUUCAGUAAGUGUUUCCCCCCUUUUUCUGAUUGGUUAUUUCAGACUAUUGAUUUUGCUCUUAUUCCAGAACUUUCCUCCAUUUUUCUCUGCUCGGUUUCCUAAACUCUGCCAUCCAGCCUGAGCUCCAUCAAUUGCCUCUGUUCAUCUGUCCGGUACACAGUCAGAGCAGAGUCAUGAUAUUUUUCUUUGCGAAUGAUUUAUGAUACUGAGUUUCUACAGAAGCACAACAGUUUACCUCCUGACAAAGACAAAUAAACACACUGAUCUGUAAUAUAUUGCAGGAUGCUGGAGGAGUACAACAAAGAGCUACAUGAGAACCUGUUGCAGACGGUGGCAUGCAUUGAGAACAUGGAGGCAGAAUUGCAGUGUACCAAGACAGAGUUAGUCAGCUUCAAAGAGAAAUACAGAAGGCUUCAGGAAAGCUAUUCUGUUUCUCAGCAGGCAAACAGUGUCUUGGAGCAGAAACUCAAAUCUGCGGUAAGAUUAACACAAGUAGAGGAGGCACUUUCCACAAAAGACAAAGAAACUCUGUGUCGUGAAUUGCUUUCUUACAUUUUGUUUUCUUACACAAAGUGCAUACCUGUAAAAUAUGAUGGUACUCUUGUCAGGGCCUCAUGGCUUACUGAAUAAAGCGCCUGCUUGCCCUUGAGCUGGCCUCUUUGAAAAUACAAAUUCACAACACCUGAAAUUUCUGUAGUGCUAUCUACCAUCACUGAUGUUACAUUUAAGCAGUAUUUUUUAACCUUAUUCUGACAGAUAGACAGCUUGGAAUCUGAGAGGAAGUUCCUCAUGCAGAGAGUUGCAGAUGUGACUAAACAGCUGGAUAUUGCUCAGAAGACCAUCAACUCUCUGGAAAACGUCAAUGUCAGUGCACAUGCAGACAGAUACAGCAAACAGAUGCCCCAUGUCUUCUAUUUUUUUGCACAAACUAGUCAAUUCCUCACUUAAUAGCUUAUAGUAUAUAGUAUGCAUGUCUAUAAUGUUAUACAUUACCCUAAGGUAUUUUAUUGUAGUAUAGUAGAUCUUUUACAAGCGCGGCUUGUUUUUUAGAGGGCUCUCCUGCUUUUGAUAUCACAGCUCAGGAUAGUCUCCAGCCAAUCAGCAUUGCCAUGACAUAAUUUCCACCCUGAAUGAAGAGGGGGCAAUAUAUAAACUUGUUCAAAAAAAUAAAAUACAACAAUGCUUAUGUUAUAGCCAGCCAGCAGGCUUAUGUAUAGUUGUGUCGGCAUAAUGAAUUGUUUCAACAUAAAAACACAAUUAACCUGUUGAAAAAACAAAAUGUUAAAGGUUAACAUCUUUCUCUCUUUAGGUUCCCUCGUUCAUUAAAGAGUUGUUGAGAAAUCACUUUGAUUCUCGGGAAGCACUGGAGCACUUCUUAUGUCCUCGAACAUCUCCACGCAAACCUGAUAUUGACCAAUCAGAGAGGGCGCAGGAGGUCAGAAACAACCAACCAUCUGGUGGAAAAGAGGAAGUAUUUGAAUGGCCACAGACUGGACACACAUGUUCAGGUGCCAGACAACUGUCUGCCACAGCCUUUCUGCCAUGGAAACAUGAUCAUGAUCCAUGGGCAGGGCCAGGACAACUCAUGGCUAAAGGAAGUGAUUCACAACUUCCUUUUUCUUUUGAUGAUGAUGUGCCAAUCCACAAAACAAUGGCAGAUACAAAGGCCCCAAGUCAUCAAGUGCAUCAAUUAGCCAUUAACACAGAGAUCCAAUUAAUUCCCCCAAACCCAUAUAAUUUAGAUGAGAUGAGGUUCAGCAGAAAGACAGGUGGAGAGGGAAGUAUCACUGUGGGGAAAGAGCCCACUGAUGUCAGCUAUCUUACUGCUCAUAGGAUGCUGAAUGAGUUUUUGAACCAGAUUCCUCCUCCAGCGCAUGAUGGUGAAGGGAAAGAUAGCUUAUAAGCAGAACUAUAACAAAAGGAAAGCAGUAACAUUUAAUUUGACAUCUUUUUGGUAAACUGUAUAGGAACUGGAUAAAAACCUCAAUAACGUCUCCCAUUACCAAUAUUGCAGCAAGGAUGCAAAUAACUGUGGCUCUGAUGGCUCUUUAUUGGUAGUUGUGAAAUACACUUGAUUUCUAGCUUUACAAGUAUAAUUGCUGUAUGCAUAUAAGUAUGUAGAUACGGUAUACCAUCUGGUUUUGUGCUAUAUCCAUUAAAACUUUUAGUUUUCUGGUUUCCUGCUUUCAUUUGUAGUUCAGUACAUUUGCAAAAGGCAUCCUUUGUAUUUGUGUUUUAUGCCUGUUUGCACUUUUUGCCGUGCAUAUUGUGAAAUAUUUAAGGUUAGCAAUAAAAUUGUAUAAUUCGAUAUUCAUUUUUUUAUUGCUAACCAAAAUUACUGUCAAUUUGUUUUGGAAAAGUAUGGCACUCUCAUUCUUCUGUCUUUGGGUGCUCAAUGUCUGCCUGUAUAAAAUUAAAAAUUAAACUGUAGAGUGAAUAGCACUUCUAUGAAAUGUGUAAAUGAACUGAGACAAUGUUCAUGUGGUUAUUUAUUGUAUAAAUUACAUUUAGGGAAAUUUGAAUUGUUGUUUUUGUGAAAUCUAUAUGUGUAACUAUAUGUAUAUGUAUAGAAUAUAAGUUAUAGUUUCUGCUAGAAAUCAAAUAAGCCAUAUAACCAUAUAUAUUUAAUAUAGAAUAUCCUUGUAUUUUUAUUCCAAAUGUAUUAAUAAAGUCUUGUGUGCAAGUUUGCUCUACAUUUGGGAAUGGUUAAUAUCUGUCUUAGUCACUUGGGGUGUCUUUAUAUCCAUAUAAAACACAGUCCAAUUAUAUAACAAUUG
rnacentral:lncRNA from 1 species